UUUACAUUUGAGUGAGUGGCGAACUGGUGAGUAACACGUGGGAAACCUGCCCAGAAGCGGGGGAUAACACCUGGAAACAGAUGCUAAUACCGCAUAACAACUUGGACCGCAUGGUCCGAGCUUGAAAGAUGGCUUCGGCUAUCACUUUUGGAUGGUCCCGCGGCGUAUUAGCUAGAUGGUGGGGUAACGGCUCACCAUGGCAAUGAUACGUAGCCGACCUGAGAGGGUAAUCGGCCACAUUGGGACUGAGACACGGCCCAAACUCCUACGGGAGGCAGCAGUAGGGAAUCUUCCACAAUGGACGAAAGUCUGAUGGAGCAACGCCGCGUGAGUGAAGAAGGGUUUCGGCUCGUAAAACUCUGUUGUUAAAGAAGAACAUAUCUGAGAGUAACUGUUCAGGUAUUGACGGUAUUUAACCAGAAAGCCACGGCUAACUACGUGCCAGCAGCCGCGGUAAUACGUAGGUGGCAAGCGUUGUCCGGAUUUAUUGGGCGUAAAGCGAGCGCAGGCGGUUUUUUAAGUCUGAUGUGAAAGCCUUCGGCUCAACCGAAGAAGUGCAUCGGAAACUGGGAAACUUGAGUGCAGAAGAGGACAGUGGAACUCCAUGUGUAGCGGUGAAAUGCGUAGAUAUAUGGAAGAACACCAGUGGCGAAGGCGGCUGUCUGGUCUGUAACUGACGCUGAGGCUCGAAAGUAUGGGUAGCAAACAGGAUUAGAUACCCUGGUAGUCCAUACCGUAAACGAUGAAUGCUAAGUGUUGGAGGGUUUCCGCCCUUCAGUGCUGCAGCUAACGCAUUAAGCAUUCCGCCUGGGGAGUACGGCCGCAAGGCUGAAACUCAAAGGAAUUGACGGGGGCCCGCACAAGCGGUGGAGCAUGUGGUUUAAUUCGAAGCUACGCGAAGAACCUUACCAGGUCUUGACAUACUAUGCAAAUCUAAGAGAUUAGACGUUCCCUUCGGGGACAUGGAUACAGGUGGUGCAUGGUUGUCGUCAGCUCGUGUCGUGAGAUGUUGGGUUAAGUCCCGCAACGAGCG
rnacentral:rRNA from 1 species